rnacentral:rRNA from 1 species
CACGUAGGGCGCGAGCGUUGUCCGGAAUUAUUGGGCGUAAAGAGCUCGUAGGCGGCCUGUUGCGUCCGCUGUGAAAGCCCGGGGCUUAACCCCGGGUCUGCAGUGGAUACGGGCAGGCUAGAGGUAGGUAGGGGAGAAUGGAAUUCCCGGUGUAGCGGUGAAAUGCGCAGAUAUCAGGAGGAACACCAAUGGCGAAGGUAGCACUCUGGGGACGGUACUGACGCUGAGACGCGAAAAGCGUGGGGAGCAAACAGG